rfam:Capsicum annuum cultivar Zunla-1 chromosome 7, whole genome shotgun sequence
AUAUCAUGAUGUGGGUAUUUUCUUAGCAUUGCCUUUAAUCUCUUCCAGACUUGAUAAACUAACUCAAUAUUAGUCUGAAAAAAAUUAGAUAUAUCCUGUCUUAAUUU